rnacentral:lncRNA from 1 species
AAGAGGCAGGUGGAAUGGCAAAAACAGUCAUGGUUGCUGGGUCUUCCCUCUUAAAAGCUUCCCAGGAAAGACCACCUAGGAACUUCUGAGUACAUCUUAUUGGCCAGGUUGGGGUCACGUGACCGCUCUUCUCUGUAUGGAAGUUCGUGGAGAAGCAAUGUGCCAUGACUGGGUGUGGUCUGCCCACCAGACUCCAUGUGUUAGAAGCGUGGGUGGUGAUGCUGAGAGGUGGUGAGACCUUGAAAAGGUAAGAUCUGAUGGGAGGUAGUUGGGCGCCACACUUGGGAUUAAUGCGGGUGUCAGGGCGCUGGAUUAGUUCCGUAGGCAAUGGGUUGCUCUAAAGUGACUUUGGCUGUUUUCUCUAUUUUCUCUCUCGCUUCCUCUUUGGGCAAGUGACCUCUCUUUCUUCCACAUACUCUCUGGACAGUCUGUCUACCUUGAGGCCCUCACCAGGAGCCAGUAACAGCA